rnacentral:tRNA from 1 species
UCCUUCUUAGCUCACUUGGUAGAGCGCGUCACUAGUAAUGACGAGGUCAGUCGUUCAAGUCGGCUAGAAGGAA